UACGGAGGGUGCGAGCGUUGUCCGGAAUCACUGGGCGUAAAGCGCACGUAGGCGGCUUCUCAAGUCAGGGGUGAAAUCCUGGAGCUCAACUCCAGAACUGCCUUUGAUACUGAGGGGCUCGAGUCCGGGAGAGGUGAGUGGAACUGCGAGUGUAGAGGUGAAAUUCGUAGAUAUUCGCAAGAACACCAGUGGCGAAGGCGGCUCACUGGCCCGGUACUGACGCUGAGGUGCGAAAGCGUGGGGAGCAAACAGG
rnacentral:rRNA from 1 species